rnacentral:rRNA from 1 species
CUCGGCAUCUAUACAUGCAGUCGACGCUUCUUUUUCCACCGGAGCUUGCUCCACCGGAAAAAGAAGAGUGGCGAACGGGUGAGUAACACGUGGGUAACCUGCCCAUCAGAAGGGGAUAACACUUGGAAACAGGUGCUAAUACCGUAUAACAAUCAAAACCGCAUGGUUUUGAUUUGAAAGGCGCUUUCGGGUGUCGCUGAUGGAUGGACCCGCGGUGCAUUAGCUAGUUGGUGAGGUAACGGCUCACCAAGGCCACGAUGCAUAGCCGACCUGAGAGGGUGAUCGGCCACAUUGGGACUGAGACACGGCCCAAACUCCUACGGGAGGCAGCAGUAGGGAAUCUUCGGCAAUGGACGAAAGUCUGACCGAGCAACGCCGCGUGAGUGAAGAAGGUUUUCGGAUCGUAAAACUCUGUUGUUAGAGAAGAACAAGGAUGAGAGUAACUGUUCAUCCCUUGACGGUAUCUAACCAGAAAGCCACGGCUAACUACGUGCCAGCAGCCGCGGUAAUACGUAGGUGGCAAGCGUUGUCCGGAUUUAUUGGGCGUAAAGCGAGCGCAGGCGGUUUCUUAAGUCUGAUGUGAAAGCCCCCGGCUCAACCGGGGAGGGUCAUUGGAAACUGGGAGACUUGAGUGCAGAAGAGGAGAGUGGAAUUCCAUGUGUAGCGGUGAAAUGCGUAGAUAUAUGGAGGAACACCAGUGGCGAAGGCGGCUCUCUGGUCUGUAACUGACGCUGAGGCUCGAAAGCGUGGGGAGCAAACAGGAUUAGAUACCCUGGUAGUCCACGCCGUAAACGAUGAGUGCUAAGUGUUGGAGGGUUUCCGCCCUUCAGUGCUGCAGCUAACGCAUUAAGCACUCCGCCUGGGGAGUACGACCGCAAGGUUGAAACUCAGAGAAAAUAUAUUUGCACGGGA